rnacentral:rRNA from 1 species
ACACGACUACAUUAGAUACCCCGGUAGUCCUAGCCGUAAACGAUACUCGCUAGGUGUCGGCCACGGUGCGACCGUUGUCGGUGCCGUAGGGAAGCCGUGAAGCGAGCCACCUGGGAAGUACGGCCGCAAGGCUGAAACUUAAAGGAAUUGGCGGGGGAGCACAACAACGGGUGGAGCUUGCGGUUUAAUUGGACUCAACGCCGGGAAGCUCACCGGAUAAGACAGCGGAAUGAUUGCCGGGCUGAAGACCCUGCAUGACCAGCUG